AACAUCCUCUGGCAAGGAGUUUCACAGUAUGUCCUCAUAAAAAUUCCAAGGCAUCGGGCAAGCCAAAAGCAAGCGCCAAACCAUGGAUGUUUAAUACCCAACCUACGUCAGCAAGAAACUUGCUCUGCAUCAACAAUCCACCUGAAAUACCUCAGGGAAAAGACAAAAUCUGUGGAAACAUGUUAUGGCAGACAGAAGCCACGUCGGAGAAGAGCUGCCACACAAAACAGAGCGCCGGAAGAGAGACACCACGUUCCAGAAGGUGCUGAUAUCACACAACGUAAGGGAAAAUGUCAAGGGGAAAAGCCUGCAGAUCUUACUCAAGCAAAAUUCACAUCGCAAACAAUUGCUGGUCCUUACGAGGUUGGAAGGAAUGCUCGGACGUGUACCAAACAUAACUUUAGUCACACACCCUUGGGAUAGAAACAUGCAGAGAAAACAAUGAAACAAGACUGUUUAUAAAGCCUUCAACACAUUAGCCCCGUGGCGAGGAGCCCAAAUUUCCAUGUACAGUCCUGAAUGGACGCGCGUGAGGUGAAACACAUGGAAAAUGUGGAGUGCCACAGGACACGCAGAUGCAGCCCCCCCUCAGACUUCUGAUGAGUCGGUUUGCUACGUUUGCAAGAAGAAACAGAAGAAAAAAAAAGACGUGCUAGCAAUGCAUGAAUCGUGCCUGUUCUUUAAGGGCGAAGGAGCUGACUUUCCAUGUCUCCGAGCCAUUAGCGCCGAGGUUGUUCCGAGCGGAUUAGCCAGCGCAUGGCGAAAAAGCCGCUCUGCCUGCCAGCUUUUGAAGCUGUUUUUGCGUUAGUCAGACUCUUUGCCAGUGAAGUCAUAUUGUGUCCUUUGUUUAUUAUAUUGAAACUUGAUAAAAGAAAAUGUCGGCGUCAGCGGGGGCUGGGGGGGAGGGGAAAUGGUUGCAGUGUGAAUUGAGUGUUCACGUCUGGCUUCCAGGAUGCUGCCAUGAGUAACGUCUGCAGCAUCACUGAGCGUCAUACGGUUAAACAAGGCGUUGUGCUGCAAACAUAACC